rnacentral:rRNA from 1 species
UACAGAGGUGGCAAGCGUUGUUCGGAAUUACUGGGCGUAAAGGGCGCGUAGGCGGCCUACUAAGUCAGACGUGAAAUCCCCAGGCUUAACUUGGGAACUGCGUCUGAUACUGGAAGGCUUGAGUGCGGGAGAGGGAUGUGGAAUUCCAGGUGUAGCGGUGAAAUGCGUAGAUAUCUGGAGGAACACCGGUGGCGAAGGCGGCAUCCUGGACCGACACUGACGCUGAGGCGCGAAAGCUAGGGGAGCAAACGGG